UAUUUAAGAGAUAAAAACACUGUUUCUGUUGGUAGUCAGAACCUAUAUUAUAAUAUAGCAGUAACCUGCCCUCCUGGGGUUGUCCAUUCUCUGUGAAUUUAUAU
rnacentral:ncRNA from 1 species